rnacentral:rRNA from 1 species
GUGUCAGCAGCCGCGGUAAUACGUAGGUGGCAAGCGAUACUCGGAAUCACUAGGCGUAAAGCGCAGGUAGGCGGUUUGGUAAGUCUUUUGUGAAAGCUCCCGGCUUAACUGGGAGAGGUCAAGGGAAACUACCGGACUAGAGUGUGGUAGGGGAUACUGGAAUUCCUGGUGUAGCGGUGAAAUGCGUAGAUAUCAGGAGGAAUACCUAUGGCGAAAGCAGGUAUCUGGGCCAUCACUGACGCUGAGCUGCGAAAGCUAGGGGAGCAAACAGGAUUAGAAACCCCAGUAGUCC